GCCUGGGGGUGCAGAUCGCUGCUCGGGAACUAACCGGGCAUCGGUCGUUCUGCAUUGCAGCCAAGGAGAGCAUUUAAUGAAACUAAACUGAAUUCUGACUGUAUUGAGUCACUCGCCAUAUUAGACCCCAGGGCAAGGACAUUGUCUCUUGUACAAUGAUAGGAUACACCUGGAGGUGAUCACAACCCCCUUAAUGUGCCAGAGCAGGGAAGUGGAAUUGAACUGGGA